UACGUAGGGUGCGAGCGUUGUCCGGAUUUAUUGGGCGUAAAGAGCGUGUAGGCGGCCAGGUAGGUCUGCUGUGAAAACUCGAGGCUCAACCUCGAGAUGUCGGCGGAAACCAUCUGGCUAGAGUCCGGAAGAGGAGAAUGGAAUUCCCGGGUGUAGCGGUGAAAUGCGCAGAUAUCGGGAAGAACACCCGUAGCGAAGGCGGCACUCGUGGGCCGGAAACUGACGCUGAGGAGCGAAAGCGUGGGGAGCAAACAGG
rnacentral:rRNA from 1 species